GCUCUGGUUAACGACCAACUGCCCAGGAGAACAGAAGCACAGAGUGGACACUUUUCUGUUUGUUUUGGGUUUUUUAGAUUGCCAAUUUCACAGUGAGGAAAAUACAUCGUGAUGCAGCCAGCUGCAGAGUGACUUGCUCUAUCACUCCCUCUCUCUUCCUCUCCAAAGGAAAAAAAUCCCCUGUCUGUAUUGCUCAGUGUGAUCGAAGGCCCCAAGUCUGAGAGGCGGAACACACAAUGCAAAAGAAUGCCCGGGUCGGGGACAGCCAGAGGGACAACGUAUAUCACCAUCCUGUCUGCCUCAUCCCUCUCAGGUGUCAGAUGAUUCGUCAGACUCUCCAGAGUCGGGGCCAAUGUCCUGUAUGGAGCCCUUCCUGGUCCGGAGGCUGUCAUGUCGCACUGUCCAGCUGCCUCCUCUGGCCUUCAGGCAGGCUGAGCAGUACUACUGCAACCACAAACCUGAACCAGACACUAUCACAGUCCCACCGCGACCGACCACACUGCCCCUACGCACCCCUCCACUUAUCGCCAUCACCUCAGCCGACACCAGCAGGUGAGGUGUGUGUGUGUGUUGACAUGCUAGUUUUGUACAAAUUAAAUUACCAUAAGGGAUGUUUAGACUGUCGGGCAGUCUGAAAAGAGUGCUUUCUUUUUGGAUGAGCUACAAUUAUACAAAUGUAGCCCUUCAUUUUCUGUGUAUAUUUGGCACUUAUUGAAGUGAACCCUGACUCACUUGUCUACUGAAGACUGACUCAUCUGUGUAUUUCUAGCAUUGUAAUUGACUGAUUUCAACAUACAGAUCUGGGAAAUACUUUGUCUCCAUUUCUUCUGAAAAGGAAUGAUUUAACUAAACAAAACAACUCUAUAGUAACAAGCAAGGCAGCAUAUGGUAUCCAUCUUGCAAAUCAACAUAAUUUCACAGAAUUGUGUUUUUACGCUAUUUUUGGCUCUUUGGUGGAGCAGAGGUUUCAACAGGUAGUAGAGCGCAGUCAUUCAACCAAAACCCCUUGAGGCACCAGUCCAAAAUAUGACAAACUUUCAGUAUGUCAUAUACAGCCUCCCUAGAUCCUAUAAGAAAACCACUUGGGGAACACUGUCAUAAUACAGGCUAACAUGCUGACCAGACCGGACACGUCGCGUGUGCGAGUGUCACAAAGUAAAUUUAGAAAUCCAUGUUAUUCAAUUAUUGCACCCACACUGCUCGUGCGCACCAACGAGUGUCGAAUGUCUGCGAUGCCAAGGGAUAAAAUAGAGAUCUCCUUUCUAUUUCUGAUGCAGAUUGCACUGAAAGUCCUGCAUCUCCCAUCUCCUCAUUGGUUUAUAGAAGCAGGUACCCACGUGCCAAAUCCUCAUUGGUUAUACCCACGUGGGUGAUUGAAAGACGAACUGUUUUGCUGGUCGUCGUGGUAAUACUAUGAAAGUUUAGAUGCCGACCACCAUAUAAGUUCAAAGAUGAAAAAGCCUGGAAGGACGAGAGAUGACUAGAAACGAUUCGGUUGGCCGUUUUAUGUAUGGAUUAAUUGUCGGAGUAGAGGACCUUGUGCAUUUCAGGUAAAAUAACAACCUAAUGUUUAUAUCCCAGGACAAAUUAGCUAGCAACAGCAAACUAGCUAAAUAGAACAAAUUAGCUAGCAAGUGCAAGUUAACUAGCUAAAUUGCCAUACAUGUUUAAUGCUUUUCGGCCUGUCCCCAAAUUAAUGUCAUUGGUUCAGAGUUUGUUUUGAUAUUUUAACCUGUGUGUCGUGAUCGCGUUUGGUGUAGGGGGACAAAAAAAAAUAUGCACGAUGGCGCACUCAGGAUUGUGUGGGAUUCAAAGCACACAGCCAUCACCACCAUACUAUCAAACAGUCUAAACAAAGUUAGAGCAGGGUAUUAAGAAAGGUUUGGGGAAGCUAAGCCCUCUGCAGUAUGCAGUGCACAAUGUACAGUACCAUCUGCUAUGAGGUCAGUUGAGAGUUGCCAGAGCUUCACAAGGUGAGAGAUUUGCUUUCACAAGUAGCCCAUGUCUGAGAAAAAUUCUCAGGGACCACAAAUAGUAAGGGGAAAAACAGUAGCCCAUUGUAGCCUUAUAUCCCAUAGGUGAUGAGUAAGUAAGGGGAAAAAACAAACCUAAAGUACAGCCAAAAGAAUAUCAACAAAGAAGACCCCCCCCCAGCUCCUGCAGAUGAAAGUAAUCCCCAGUGCAUCUGAGAACACAUCAAGUUUGGCAGGUGCUCUGUAGCCAGGCAAUGUGUUUGUAAUAUGAGACAAAGAGAAGAUGUAGGACCAUGUAAUUAGAAUUCAUAGAAUGGACAGUGUCCCUGGGAUUUAGAACGCCUCACUCCACUGAUCAUGAAGAUUUGCAUUGGAGAGCAGUGUCUUCUUCAUCAACAACAAGCUACGUACAUACAUUACACCGUCCAAUGGCUUGACACAAUGGUUCUCCAUCCGAACCAGCGCCUGUCAUGUCACUUUCUUCCUCUUGUGAAGACAAUGAUGUUGUUUGUACCAAUGUUCCAGCAUGUCAAAAUGCAUUCAUACAAAUAGAUACUAUAUAAUGUCGUGGUAUACUGUAGAAUACUAUAGUAAAAACAACAUUGAUAUCCACAACAACAAAAAAACACAGUACUAAAUACUACAGUAAUGUCUGGAAAAACACUACAGUCCACAGAAACACAACAUAUGUUUAACUAUAGUAAAUACUACAGUAUUUCAUUUGCAUAUACCCUGCCCAUUCCCCUCCCCCAUAUCGUAAUUUGUUCCACCCAUAAGUGAGAAUGGGUAUUGUAUUGUAUCUAUUUUAGUAUUUCUCUAGUAGGUUUCCUGAAGGACAAAGCCUCCACUUCUAUGACAGAGAUAAUAAAACAAAAACACUAUAGAAAACACUACAACAAUGUCUGCAAAAACACUAUAGUAAAUACUGCAACACACAGUGAACACUACAGUAUCCUACAGUGCAAAAACACUACUUUAAUUACUAUAGUAUAUACUAGUUUUAUUUUACUAGUGUUUAUACCCUGUAAAUACUACCAUAAACUACAGCAUACUACAGUGAAUAAUACAGCUUUUAUAACAUAGUAUACUUUAGUAUUUUUUUCAUGUGGGCAUGCAGCAAUAUUAUUUUUAUUUUCUAAAGCAGCUAUUCUGUAACUUUUAAGGAAGUAGGGUAGACCGUGUCACCACCUGUAAGAACACAAAUACAGGAAAGAGCUGUCAUCCUAUAGUCUAUUUCAAUAUCCUAUGGAUUCUAUUCAUGACAAUGAUGUCAGUGCUGUUUCCUCAAACCCCGCUUGGUUGAUUCAAUGCCCUUGGCUUGAUCAGCAAUAAGACUGCUGGCUACAAUCCAAUAAUAAAACAAUAGGACAACAAGGGUGUGUCUUAUGGGGAUUUUAGCACAGCUGUGAUUUUUUUUUUUUUUUAAAGAUUAGAUUAUGUUGUGAUGUCAUCAUACAUUUUUUCAAGAAUUGAUUAAUAUACGUAAGUAAGGCAAAGCCCUUUGUAAUAUAAUUAUUAAUUGCUAUGCCUUCUAUACACUUCACUAUGGACAACAUGGGAGAAAAUGAUUGAGAAUUCUAACAAAAGACCAUACUGUACAACGUCUUAGCUCAGUUUAAGGCUUGGUUCAUUUAUAGUAAAAGGGCUUUUAUGUACUCUGCGCCAUCAUCUUGGAACGCCUUACAAAAUAGUUUUAAACUGGAAGAACUUGUCCCGAUAUCACUGAUGAAUGAUCUUGAGACUGAUUCCCUGGCCUGUCAAUGUUUUUAAUUUGCUGUUUUUGAUUUUUUUGCAGUGUUAAUCUGCAAAAUUUUAAUUAUUCGCCUACCUCCUCAUGCCUUUUGCACACAAUGUAUAUAGACUUUUUUCCCCCUACUGUGUUAUUGACUUGUUAAUUGUUUACUCCAUGUGUAACUCUGUUGUCUGUUCACACUGCUAUGCUUUAUCUUGGCCAGGUAGCAGUUGUAAAUGAGAACUUGUUCUCAACUAGCCUACCUGGUUAAAUAAAGGUGAAAAAAAUAAAUAAAAAAUACUGUGAAUUCUAUGGUUUUUACUAGAUUACUUGUUU
ensembl:lncRNA